CAUCACUUCCUCAGUGGCUCGGUAUUGGACGCAGGUAGAGUGCUGCUAUGUCAAUUAACAUACAAGACGAUUAUCACUCUUUUGUCUUUCAAUGACCUGUAUAGCGCUUUGAUAUAGAUAUAAAUAUUUCAAACGUCGUUUUUAUCAUCGCUAACGUUGCAGUGUGAUUGAGCGUGUUCGUGAAACUCCUGUCACGCGGUUAGAGCGUCUCUUGGAAAUUGGCUUUGUUCGCUCCGACAGCACACAGUCAGUCUGCGUUAUCAUCCAGAAUGGACCAUUUGGAGAAGGAAAAUAGGUCUGACGAAGAUUCGGAAUACGAAGAAGAGGAGGUGGACCCUAGAAUUCAGGGAGAACUGGAGAAACUCAACCAGUCCACAGAUGACAUCAACAGAUGUGAGACACAACUGGAGGAUGCCAGGCAGAAGUUCCGCACGGUGCUGGUUGAGGCCACGGUGAAGCUGGAUGAGCUGGUCAAGAAGAUUGGGAAGGCGGUGGAGGAUUCCAAACCCUACUGGGAGGCCCGGAGAGUGGCCAGACAGGCUCAGCUGGAGGCCCAGAGAGCCACCCAGGACUUCCAGAGGGCCACGGAGGUGCUGCGUGCGGCCAAGGAGACCAUCGCCCUGGCAGAGCAGAGGCUCCUGGAGGAGGACACCAGGCAGUUUGACUCAGCCUGGCAGGAGAUGCUCAACCACGCCACCCAGAGGGUGAUGGAGGCGGAGCAUACAAAGACGCGGAGUGAGCUGGUGCACAAGGAGACAGCAGCCAAGUACACGGCAGCCAUGGGCCGCAUGAAACAGCUGGAGAAGAAACUCAAACGCACCAUCAACAAGUCCAAACCAUACUUUGAGUUGAAGGCAAAGUACUACCUACAGCUUGAGCACCUAAAGAAGAACGUGGAUGAGUUGCAGGCCAAGCUGAGCCAGGCCAAAGAAGGGUACAAGACAGCUCUGAGAAACCUGGAGAUGAUCUCAGACGAGAUCCACGAACGCCGACGCAACUCUGCCAUGGGCCCCCGGGGGCGGGGCGUGGGCGCCGAUGGCGACAGUGUCGCAGUGGAUGACAUUGCCAGCUUCAAGAUGGAGUCAGAUGGCAUCUCCAUGACGUCCGAGUCAUUUGAGGAUGAGACCUGCAGCAGCAGUGCCAUGUCAGAGGAGGACUCAGAGACCCGCUCCACCUGCAGCCUGGUCUCCUCCUCCCACUCCCCCAACAGCCUCCAGGACCUCCCCUCGCCCUGUCCCUUUUCCAGCUCUUCCUCACCCUCGCCCUGCCCCUCCUCCUCCUCUUCCCCUGCUCCCUCCUCACGCCCCUGCAGUCUGGACCUUCCCAGCCCAGUCUCGCUGUCUGACUUUGGCCUCAUCUCUCCUGUCCUGGGACCACGCAGCGAGUGUAGCGGGGCGUCAUCACCGGAGUGUGACCUGGAGAGAGUAAGACAUAUCGUCUUCUGCUUCCUGUCUGACUUGCACCUGAGCCAGAGGAGAGACCUAUUAGUCAUAGUGACAGCUAGCCUAGUGCUUAGGCCAGAGCAGGUGAAGAGGCACAGGCAAGCAGUACUGCUGGGGGAUACAUCCUAAUCUCCACGGCGUCCCUAAGAGCCUGCGGAAUGUUUUGGACCAGUGAGAAAGGGUGACAGAGCAGAGGGAGCGGAGGGUGAGCUGGACAAUACUGUAAACAACAACAGCACCACCGUCCCAAACACCAAGAAGACCACGGGCCUGGAGGGCCGCCUCAGCUUCCUGUCUCUUCGACGCUUGCGCAACGACAGCACCAAGAACACCAAGCGCGAACGUCAAAGCCGUUCCCAGACCCCCACCCAAACUGUGGUUCUGAUCAACGGGGUGUGAUGAGGAAAGCUAAUCCACAAGCUAACCCCAUCACCUGCUUUGUGUGCCAACGUGCUGUAUUGCCAGUAACCACACACACAUUCCAUUCUACCCCAUGAACUAAUACUGGCUAAGUAAACAGAAAGUGGCUCAGUAUGAGAUACUAUGAACUAAAUGGUCAGUGUAUAUACAGUUCAUAUGGAUUAUGAUGAGAAGAGACUUAAGACCCAACCCAGGGUGAGUGAGGUCAUGAAACCACCACUUCCUAUAGAAAGGACCUUUCACCCUUUGACCUCCCUCCCAUAGCGUUGAGACCUCAGUCAGAUUGACUUCCCAUAAUUCCCUACUGUACUCCACACACAUUAAGGACAGUGUUGGCUAACAUCCUAUCGGUGGGGGCCCAUGGUAUAUGAGGGGAAAUGGGACAGUGUUGGCUAACAUCUUAUCGGUGGGGGCCCAUGGUAUAUGAGGGGAAAUGGGACAGUGUUUUUUUUACUGUGAUAUUCUCCCUGAGAGGGAGCUGCACUUCUAGACAAGAUGUGAUUCUAUUGUUGGUAAAUGAAAGAAUGCACUCCUAGCUUCGACUAUUAGAAAUGGGGAUUAUUUAUAAAACUUGAUGUCUCAGUGAAUGUGCCACCUGUUUUACCAAUACAGAAAUUUGUCAAAUACAAAACAUUGAUAGCAAUAUGUGUUAUGCUUUUGUAAAAGAAGAGCACGCAUGAGGCCAAGAUUUAAAGUCAAGAUUUUUAAAAAGAAACAAAUACAUUUAUGGAGUUGAAGUUUUGUGAAUAACCCUCAUAACCGUCAUAACCCUCAUAACCCUCAUAAUAUUACUCUGCUAUAUCCUCUCUCAGAUACUUGACAUGUGAAUACUCUCACCAUUAUGUAAUCCUGUGUACGGCAUAUAGAGCCUAUGGCAACUGCUUUAUGUUACCAUGGAGACCCCCUGGCUGGUAUCUCUUCGGACAGCCUGUGCAUUUGUCCAAUAGGGGUCUUCAGAAUUGGACUUAAAAGAACUGUAUUCUAUUGCACAACUAAUUUCCCAGUGAGCUAACUGUGAAUCUAUCUCGCCUGCAGUACACACAAAGCUGGACUUGGAAUCUGAUUGAACGAGAGUAUAAUAAUUGUGUGGGGUGAGGCUACAGUAGAUAUACCCUCCCCUCUUCGCUCCCUCCAUCCUGUGGUUCUUCAGUGCCAGGGAAAUGGGCCUCCAGACACUGUCACCCCCUCUAGCCCUCCUUCCAUCCAUCUCCCUGUCAUAGCAUCCCCAAUGGCCCGGUACUGAGGGACAACAUCCACCCACGGACGGUAACACUAAGAACUGAGCAAUAGAGCAAGGACAGAACUUUUGAUAACCAUAUCUGCCCAUGGACACGUUCAUAUAGAGUUCUCUGUAACGGAAUGCAAAUGGCCGGCCUGGUAAUUCUCCGAAUCUGAGGAUGGUUUUGUCUUGGACCAAUCUUGAGGAUAAAGUGAAACUAGAUGACUGAAUGAAACUGAUGGUGAAGAAUGAUGAGGCCUGUUGUGGAAACUGACAGAAUAAUUGAUAAGUGUUGUGAUUUCUGAUGGACAGUAUCAGCUACAGUAAAUUGUAGAUCCAUAUUGGCUAAAGUGGCACACAGUAGACUGUCAGAUGUUUGUGAGGCCGAGUCGUCUGUCUCAAAUGGUGUUAAAUUGUCUUCCUCUCCUGGUCUCCUUAUGCUCCAUGGCCACAUGGGAAAGGUAUUUGGUCACUGAGUUAUGAGAAAAGCAAGCUAUUGCACAAGCGUAUGCAGUCUUUGUUAUUGUGAACACUCCAGUCUAUGUAUGUAGUGUACGUGUACAAAUGUAAUGAUGAUGUCGAUGUUUAUCUCUGUCACCCUCCGCUGUGGAAUAUAAGGAUAUAACCAUGGACAGUCCCUGUCAUAGCCGUUUUCUUCCAUUAUUUUAAGAGUAACUUUCCAUUGUGUCUCCAGUUUAUGUGCCUGUUUUCUGAAAAUAAUCCAAUAAACUGAUGUUCACUGCA